rnacentral:rRNA from 1 species
GGUUUACCUGUGUGACUGCGUACCUUUUGUAUAAUGGGUCAGCGACUUAUAUUCUGUAGCAAGGUUAACCGAAUAGGGGAGCCGGAGGGAAACCGAGUCUUAAUUGGGCGUUAAGUUGCAGGGUAUAGACCCGAAACCCGGUGAUCUAGCCAUGGGCAGGUUGAAGGUUGGGUAACACUAACUGGAGGACCGAACCGACUAAUGUUGAAAAAUUAGCGGAUGACCUGUGGCUGGGGGUGAAAGGCCAAUCAAACCGGGAGAUAGCUGGUUCUCCCCGAAAGCUAUUUAGGUAGCGCCUCGUGAAUUCAUCUCCGGGGGUAGAGCACUGUUUCGGCUAGGGGGCCAUCCCGGCUUACCAACCCGAUGCAAACUGCGAAUACCGGAGAAUGUUAUCACGGGAGACACACGGCGGGUGCUAACGUCCGUCGUGAAGAGGGAAACAACCCAGACCGCCAGCUAAGGUCCCAAAGUCAUGGUUAAGUGGGAAACGAUGUGGGAAGGCCCAGACAGCCAGGAUGUUGGCUUAGAAGCAGCCAUCAUUUAAAGAAAGCGUAAUAGCUCACUGGUCGAGUCGGCCUGCGCGGAAGAUGUAACGGGGCUAAACCAUGCACCGAAGCUGCGGCAGCGACACUGUGUGUUGUUGGGUAGGGGAGCGUUCUGUAAGCCUGUGAAGGUGGCCUGUGAGGGUUGCUGGAGGUAUCAGAAGUGCGAAUGCUGACAUAAGUAACGAUAAAGCGGGUGAAAAGCCCGCUCGCCGGAAGACCAAGGGUUCCUGUCCAACGUUAAUCGGGGCAGGGUGAGUCGACCCCUAAGGCGAGGCCGAAAGGCGUAGUCGAUGGGAAACGGGUUAAUAUUCCCGUACUUGGUGUUACUGCGAAGGGGGGACGGAGAAGGCUAUGUUGGCCGGGCGACGGUUGUCCCGGUUUAAGCGUGUAGGUGUGUGUUCCAGGUAAAUCCGGUUCACUUUAACACUGAGGCGUGACGACGAGGCACUACGGUGCUGAAGCAACAAAUGCCCUGCUUCCAGGAAAAGCCUCUAAGCAUCAGGUAACAUCAAAUCGUACCCCAAACCGACACAGGUGGUCAGGUAGAGAAUACCAAGGCGCUUGAGAGAACUCGGGUGAAGGAACUAGGCAAAAUGGUGCCGUAACUUCGGGAGAAGGCACGCUGACACGUAGGUGAAGUGAUUUACUCAUGGAGCUGAAGUCAGUCGAAGAUACCAGCUGGCUGCAACUGUUUAUUAAAAACACAGCACUGUGCAAACACGAAAGUGGACGUAUACGGUGUGACGCCUGCCCGGUGCCGGAAGGUUAAUUGAUGGGGUCAGCGCAAGCGAAGCUCCUGAUCGAAGCCCCGGUAAACGGCGGCCGUAACUAUAACGGUCCUAAGGUAGCGAAAUUCCUUGUCGGGUAAGUUCCGACCUGCACGAAUGGCGUAAUGAUGGCCAGGCUGUCUCCACCCGAGACUCAGUGAAAUUGAACUCGCUGUGAAGAUGCAGUGUACCCGCGGCAAGACGGAAAGACCCCGUGAACCUUUACUAUAGCUUGACACUGAACAUUGAGCCUUGAUGUGUAGGAUAGGUGGGAGGCUUUGAAGUGUGGACGCCAGUCUGCAUGGAGCCGACCUUGAAAUACCACCCUUUAAUGUUUGAUGUUCUAACGUGGACCCGUAAUCCGGGUUGCGGACAGUGUCUGGUGGGUAGUUUGACUGGGGCGGUCUCCUCCUAAAGAGUAACGGAGGAGCACGAAGGUUGGCUAAUCCUGGUCGGACAUCAGGAGGUUAGUGCAAUGGCAUAAGCCAGCUUGACUGCGAGCGUGACGGCGCGAGCAGGUGCGAAAGCAGGUCAUAGUGAUCCGGUGGUUCUGAAUGGAAGGGCCAUCGCUCAACGGAUAAAAGGUACUCCGGGGAUAACAGGCUGAUACCGCCCAAGAGUUCAUAUCGACGGCGGUGUUUGGCACCUCGAUGUCGGCUCAUCACAUCCUGGGGCUGAAGUAGGUCCCAAGGGUAUGGCUGUUCGCCAUUUAAAGUGGUACGCGAGCUGGGUUUAGAACGUCGUGAGACAGUUCGGUCCCUAUCUGCCGUGGGCGCUGGAGAACUGAGGGGGGCUGCUCCUAGUACGAGAGGACCGGAGUGGACGCAUCACUGGUGUUCGGGUUGUCAUGCCAAUGGCACUGCCCGGUAGCUAAAUGCGGAAGAGAUAAGUGCUGAAAGCAUCUAAGCACGAAACUUGCCCCGA